GAUGAACGCUGACAGAAUGCUUAACACAUGCAAGUCUUUGGCGAAGCUGUGCUUGCACAGCCUAGCCAAGGCGGACGGGUGAGUAACGCGUAAGGAACUUGCCCUGCAGUCAGGGAUAACAGACGGAAACGACUGAUAAGACCUGGUAAAGUCAGGCGGACUCAUGUCCAGCCUGAUGAAAAGGGAUGCUGCAGGAGAGCCUUGCGUCCUAUUAGCUUGUUGGUGGGGUAACGGCCCACCAAGGCGAUGAUAGGUAGCCGGCCUGAGAGGGUGGACGGCCACUAGGGGACUGAGAUGCGGCCCUUACUCCUGCGGGAGGCAGCAGUGGGGAAUAUUGGACAAUGGGGGCACCCCUGAUCCAGCAAUUCUGUGUGCACGAUGAAGGUUUUCGGAUUGUAAAGUGCUUUCAGCAGGGAAGAAAAAAAUGACGGUACCGGCAGAAGAAGCGACGGCUAACUACGUG
rnacentral:rRNA from 1 species